rnacentral:lncRNA from 1 species
ACGCUUAAUAUUAAGAUAAAGGACAAAUCCACAACAAUGGUGAUGGAGAUCUAUUUUAGCAAACUCCUCAUUUUGGUUCUGAAGUUGUUUUCCCUUUUCAGUGAAGGAGCUGGUUUUGCGGCAUCUGUUGAACUUAGUCAAAUUAGGUGUGUUGUGUAUGUACCUUGGAGCUGAAAAUGUAACAUUAGCUCUAGAACUGGUUGCCUAUACUGAAGAAAUACAGGUUGGUAUUUUCAUCCCACUACUGUACAAUUUAUGUUAUUUUGUACAAUAUUCAUUUGGGGUAUUUGGUCUGUUAUAUUUAACUUCAUUUCUCUUCACAUUAUUGCCACGACAGAUACAUAUAUAGACUGAGGCUUGUGUCUCCUGGGUGUAGCUCUCAUCACCAUAACAAAGGUAUGCUGUCCAUUCUUAUCUUUUUUUUUCCAAUGGCAUUAUGCUUAUAACCUCUCUGAUGAAAUGGUCAAACGAAUAUUUGUAGUUGAAUCAUCUUGAUGCAUAAUAGAAGAGUUGCUGGGUUUGGACAUGAGCAUGAUCAAUUAUUGUGGCCUUGCUGUUUCUUGAAAGAUAGUGUGCAAAAAGUUUGUUUUGCUCUUGGAAGGUGUGUGUGAGAGUUUGAGAAAAAAACUACUGCUUUACUUAUGUUUCAACUCCGGUGAGGCAUGUUUGUACAGGUAGUGAAAAUAUGGUGCUUAUGAUUCUCUCGCUGAUUUGGGGAUUUUGAUAGUAGAAUGUGGUUCUAGCCUGGUGCUGCGGUUCAUUCAGUUUCAAGGGAAAUGAUAUAUGUGUGGUUUCUUUGCUUUACAUAAGAUGCAUUAUGUGUUGUCUUCAUCUUGGUAACAUGUGGGCAGAUGUGAUACAUUCUUCAUGUUUCUGGAUUUGGUGCAGGUUCGAGGGUGUAAAUCUACCUGAUAUAUUGUUGACGGGGAUUGAGUAUUGUAGUGAUAUAUCUGAGAAUUUUAAUGAUCUAUCUGCUACCAGGUACUGUACUCAACACAAUUUUUUUGUGUGUGAUUCAACUCAUUUAACUUCAUGUUAAUUUGCUAACAAACCUCCUGCUGCUACAGAUUUCUUUGUACAAUACAUACAAAUUAUUGAUAUGGUAUUUAAACAAUGAAUAAUAGAUGUAAUUAUCCUGUAUGUCAAAUCUACUACUGUUAUUCUCAUAUGGUGAAUCUAAAUACUUCUUUGUAUCUUAGUCAUGAAAGUUCAAAGGCAAAUUUCCGUUGAUCUCAUUAAUUAGUGGUCUGAUUAACUCUCUCCCUCUCACCUCACAUGUAAAAAGAGAAGGUAAGAGGGACCAUGUUAAAAUGUGCCGUUGAGUACAUCCUGCAUCAGUGAGAUAUCAUGCUCAUUAUACCUCAGAGUUGCUAAUAUUUUUCUUUUCACAUAUAGUCCUCUCCUCUUGUCCCCGUUUCUCCAAUGAAAACUGUACUUCAGGCCAAAUGCUGAAGCCUUUACCUUCUUAAUGCUCUGUUUUAUUUGUGUUAACAUGUAUUCCUCAUGAUUACUGUGCAUACUUCUUUUUGAUUUUCUGUAUAGACAAUGAAGGAGAUGGACAAACAUAUAGCUCUAUGGUGAGGUACUAAUUCAACUUUUCUGGUUUUAAUUACCAGUUGUUCUGUGUUCGACUGAGCUGCGUAUAUUUCGUGUUAGCCUUUCGCUGAUUUUAGAACUGACCGCGUUUUGAUGAUUGGUGGUUACAGGGUUGCAUGGAGUACGAAGGCUUGUAUGCUGCAAGAGAUUUAGACACCCAGUUGCUGAUCUUCAGCCCCUUGAUGUUGGUUUACCAAUCUGCAUUCCACACUCUUCAAAGGUUCCGAGGAAGGUGAGUUUUGUAAGUACCAGUCUCUGCAAGAACGCUAAUCUCGGUUCAUUUUCCAUAAAUUUGCAAUAGUUUGUUAUUUGCCGGGACCAACUUUAACUAGGUUGAAAUAAUGAUAUUUUUUGUUCAUUUUAUCUGUUUGUAACACUCUACGUUUUAUUAAUGCAUGAUAGGUGCCUCUAUCAGCCAUUUUUGAACCAGAUAUGCAGCAGCAAGGGAGUAGCCCUAUCACUCUCGAUCAAAACCUCAAAGGGCGAAGGGAGAACGCAACAACAUUCUUCUAUGAUAGUUAAUGUUGUCCCACCUAUACGUUUUAUUAAGGCAUGAUAGGUGCCUCUAUCAGCCAUUUUCUACCAUGUACGGCUGAUACAUGUUAACUGCCAGUUUGUACAGGUACACAGUUGUGUGAUACCCAUGAAUUUUAGUCAGAGUAAUUAUAUGUUCUGUUAUCAUGGUCACUAGAUUUUGUUGAGUACCUUAGUGCUCAACUUAGGAACAACUAAUUGCCAUCUUAGGUCACUGCAUUCCCAAAAUAACUAUGGAAAGUUUACUUUCACAAUACAGUCACAUAUCCAUGUCCCAUUUUUCUUUGUGGUUUCUAUCUAUAUAUUCAGAUUGGACGCAUUUAUAUUGAGUACUUAGAAAUUUACAUAUGUUUCCAGUUGCAUUUUAGUUUAGACAUGCUCUGAUAAUAUGCAAAGUAUGUGGCACAAAAUGAUGGUGCUGGUGUUAUCAAUGGGGUCCAAGGAAAUUUGCACAAAAAUUUAAACAAAAUGAUUAUGCCAUCAAUACUUUCUGAAGCCUUCAACUUUCUCCCUUUUGUCCCUAAACAUGUCCUGUGUUUACGCAAGGUGCAGCAGCAGCAGGUCAUCCACUUCUACCCAAGUUGCCAUGGAAAAUCUAAUGGGUUUACGACUAUCUCAGUUCAUAAUGGUGUGAGCUUUGUAGGAGUGGGAUAUCAUAUACAGUAUGAUAGAUAUGGAAGACAACAAGCAAAAAUUCAAUUAUGAGGUGAUGGUUGAGCUGAUCAGUACAACGUUGUCCCGAAUUUUCUUUUGAUUCUGUUUCUUCUUGGUUUGCAGAUGAUCGGCUGUUUCAAUCUUUUUCUUCUGCUUACAGUCCACCAACAGGAUUGUUGAUGCCCGCAGGAGGGGGACAUCGCAGUAGAUGGGCUGAAGUAGGAGGCUGAGAGAAAUGGGAAACAACGGAUUCUAGCACAUAGUAGAUGCCUAAGAUGUCACUGAAGCGCUAUUGAGGUACAUUCUGAUAACUACAGUUCUAUUGGACAACACUAGCCCCUAUAGUAACAUAUAUGGUCUGAGAUUUUUCUAGGAUCAUUCCUCCCAGGUGAUUACAAACCUGGUCAUAAUGUAGCAUAAGCUAAAUCAAAUCCAGAUUUUCUUCCUUGGCCCAUUACAAUAAAGGAUCCUUUAUACUGAGCUUUUUGUGUUACAACAGAAUUAUGGAUGACUGCUCUAUUUAGUCCUUGACAGUUCCAUCUAUAUAUGCCAUGGGCUUAGCUAUUAGCGUUGUUGAGUGCGACCUUGUGGACCUCUGCAUUUUUUAUUUCUGUUUGCAAUGUUGUGAUUCUCCUGCUCAUUGCUUUUCAUUUUUCUUUGUGUAGGUCACAUACACUCCAACAUCUAAAAUAAAUCCAGCAGGCAGUUUAGAGUUUUUCGGGUUGAUGAUUAUGAAUGCAGAUAGACCUAUCUAAUCCAGCUUUUGCUUGAUUUUUGUCACUGAACUUCAUAUUAGAUGUGAUAUAACUACUCAGAUUGUAUCAGCCUUCCUAUUCUUUCCCCUUUCCUAUUACUACAAGUGUAUAUGGUAAUUAUUUAUCAAAUAAUACACGGCUUUUGUUCAUCUCAUGCGCAGGUGGCGCAACGGGUGCUUUAUAAAACCAAUGUAUGCUACAAAGUAUCUAUUCAGUAUCAGUCACAUAUACAUGGUUUGAAUACUCGGCCCGCUCUCGCUUAUUUUACCAAGGAUCUUCAACAAGUAUAUCUGCAAAAGGUCAAAUUCCAUUCAAUUCAGACCCAAACAAUACUCCGCUAGGUUGAUCGCACACUACAGCAAAUUCCUUUCAAAAUAAUCUAUUCACCGUGAAGCACGCU